rnacentral:rRNA from 1 species
GAGAGCUGAGUGACAGUUAGUGGCGGACGGGUGAGUACGCGUGGGCAACCGUACCCAUAAGAGGGGGAGUAACAGCUGGAAACGGCUGCUAAUACCGCAUAAGCUUUUUAGGACGUAUGUUUUAGAAAGUAAAGGAGGCGCAAGCUUCCGCUUAUGGAUGGGCCCGCGUCUGAUUAGCUAGUUGGUAGGGUAGAGGCCUACCAAGGCAACGAUCAGUAGCCGGCCUGAGAGGGUGGACGGCCACACUGGGACUGAGAACGGCCCAGACUCCUACGGGAGGCAGCAGUGGGGAAUAUUGCGCAAUGGGGGAAACCCUGACGCAGCGACGCCGCGUGAGCCGAAGAAGGCCUUCGGGUUGUAAAGCUCUGUUGUAAGGGACGAAUGUCUAGGGUAGUAACUGACCUUAGAAUGACGGUACCUUACCAGCAAGCCCCGGCUAACUACGUGCCAGCAGCAGC